rnacentral:rRNA from 1 species
UACGUAGGGUGCAAGCGUUGUCCGGAUUUAUUGGGCGUAAAGCGCGUGUAGGCGGCUAUGCAGGUCCGCUGUGAAAACUCGAGGCUCAACCUCGAGACGUCGGUGGAAACCGUCUGGCUAGAGUCCGGAAGAGGAGAGUGGAAUUCCUGGUGUAGCGGUGAAAUGCGCAGAUAUCAGGAAGAACACCCGUGGCGAAGGCAGCUCUCUGGGACGGAACUGACGCUGAGACGCGAAAGCGUGGGGAGCGAACAGG